rnacentral:lncRNA from 1 species
CUGAGGAGAGUGGGUGUGUGCAGGGCCCAAACUCUGCCGCGCCACGUUUACAUCACAAAGACCCUGUUUAGAGACCAUUGCGUGGGGGAACUGUCUUGCUACAUGGCAUUUCUAGAAUAAAAAUAUCUGACCUUUGAGAAGGAUUUCCUACAAUUAGAGGGCAGCUGAUCCCCUUGGGGGAAGAAGCAAAACAUUUGCUGAAGUACCUUCCCUGGCCGGUUAACAUAAGAGCUGCCUUCAGGAAGAAAGGGAGACACUCCCGAGGUAUGGGUUGUGGAAGCAGAACCUCAGUUCACCAUUUGGACACCAGGUGGAUGUACAGCCUCACCACAGGCAGGGUGGAGACCAACCAGCUGCACCUAAGGACUGCCCUAUAUGAGAUUGAUCUGUACUUGAGGGAAGCAUCAAGACUGUCCCACCCCACAGCUUCCAAGAUGAACACUCCUAAGCCUUGCCCUAUCAUUCAGUGGUCCUGCUCUGUAUGAUGACAGCUUUGUACACUGAUAAGCGAGCUCCUGGGCUUGGCCUCUUGGGCUUUCAGCAUAGCUUCUCAGUCUGAAAGAGCCAGCUUUCCCCCAGCACUGAUGGAGUUCAUCACAGCAAGAUACAACAUGGCAUUUUAAACCUCAGCGUGAUGUGUAUUUUUCUUAAAACGCAGAGUAUACAGUGACAGUGGAGGUGGUGAAAGGGAGUGGCAGACUGAGAGGUGUAUUUGAUUAUUCUUUGUACUAAGUCACAUAGGUCAUGCUCAUCUAGUGUGAACAGUGUGUCCUGGCAAGACAGAAAACAGGGAAAAAGGGCUCCCCAAGGGAUCUGCUCACGAUGAUGCAAUGUAGUGUGAAUCAAUGAGGUUACUAUGGGCUGUGAUUAUUACUCUUCUUGCAUGGUGAUUCAAACAACACUGACCCCCUAGUUUGCUGAGGUUUUGUCUUCCUUAUACCUAGCAAUAAAAUUCAUACAUACCAGUUCUGUCUGCUACCA